rnacentral:ncRNA from 2 species
AAACUACUUCGAGGCGGGGUGAAAGUCCUCACCGGUGGUGACAGUCCACAAGCGCAAGCGACAGGGUGCAAUUCCCUGACCGACGGUAUAGUCCGGAUGGGAGAAGUCGUUU